AGUGGCGCACGGGUGCGUAACACGUAUGUAACCUACCCAUAUCAGGGGGAUAGCCUCUCGAAAGAGAGAUUAAGCCCGCAUAAAAUCACACUAUGGCAUCAUAGAAUGAUCAAAUAUUUAUAGGAUAUGGAUGGGCAUGCGGAACAUUAGCUAGUUGGUAAGGUAACGGCUUACCAAGGCUACGAUGUUUAGGGGAUCUGAGAGGAUGACCCCCCACACUGGUACUGAGACACGGACCAGACUCCUACGGGAGGCAGCAGUAAGGAAUAUUGGUCAAUGGACGGAAGUCUGAACCAGCCAUGCCGCGUGCAGGAAGACGGCCCUACGGGUUGUAAACUGCUUUUGUACCGGAAUAAACCUUCCUACGUGUAGGGAGCUGAAUGUACGGUAAGAAUAAGGAUCGGCUAACUCCGUGCCAGCAGCCGCGGUAAUACGGAGGAUCCGAGCGUUAUCCGGAUCUAUUGGGUUUAAAGGGUGCGUAGGCGGCCUAUUAAGUCAGGGGUGAAAGACGGUAGCUUAACUAUCGCAGUGCCUUUGA
rnacentral:rRNA from 1 species